rnacentral:rRNA from 1 species
CGCAGGCCUGACGGAGCAAUACCGCGUGAGGGACGAAGGUUCUUGGAUUGUAAACCUCUUUUCUCAGGGAAGAACACAAUGACGGUACCUGAGGAAUAAGCAUCGGCUUACUCUGUGCCAGCAGCCGCGGUAAUACAGAGGAUGCAAGCGUUAUCCGGAAUUAUUGGGCGUAAAGCGUCCGCAGGUGGCUAAAUAAGUCAGUUGUCAAAGCGCAAGGCUUAACUUUGUAAAGGCAAUUGAAACUGUGUAGCUAGAGUGUGGUAGGGGUAGCGGGAACUCCUAGUGUAGCGGUGAAAUGCGUAGAUAUUAGGAAGUACACCAGCGGCGAAAGCGCGCUACUGGGCCAUAACUGACACUGAGGGACGAAAGCUAGGGGAGCGAAAGGGAUUAGAUACCCCUGUAGUCCUAGCCGUAAACGAUGAACACUAGGUGUUGCGCGUAUCGACCCGUGCAGUGCCGUAGCCAACGCGUUAAGUGUUCCGCCUGGGGAGUACGCACGCAAGUGUGAAACUCAAAGGAAUUGACGGGGGCCCGCACAAGCGGUGGAGUAUGUGGUUUAAUUCGAUGCAACGCGAAGAACCUUACCAGGGUUUGACAUGUCGCGAAUCCUCUUGAAAGGGAGGAGUGCCUUCGGGAGCGCGAACACAGGUGGUGCAUGGCUGUCGUCAGCUCGUGUCGUGAGAUGUUGGGUUAAGUCCCGCAACGAGCGCAACCCACGUUUUUAGUUGCCAUCAUUAAGUUGGGCACUCUAGAGAGACUGCCGGUGACAAACCGGAGGAAGGUGUGGAUGACAUCAAGUCAGCAUGCCCCUUACGUCCUGGGCUACACACGUACUACAAUGCUACGGACAGAGAGUUGCAAGCCCGCGAGGUCAAGCUAAUCUCAUAAACCGUGGCUCAGUUCAGAUUGCAGGCUGCAACUCGCCUGCAUGAAGGCGGAAUCGCUAGUAAUCGCAGGUCAGCAUACUGCGGUGAAUACGUUCCCGGGCCUUGUACACACCGCCCGUCACACCAUGGGAGUUGGUUUUGCCCGAAGUCGUUACUCCAACCGUUCGCGGAGGGGGAUGCCGAAGGCAGGGCUGAUGACUGGGGUGAA